rnacentral:rRNA from 2 species
AGGCCACAACUUGGCAAGUCGAGCGAAUGGAUUGAGAGCUUGCUCUCAAGAAGUUAGCGGCGGACGGCUGAGUAACACGUGGGUAACCUGCCCAUAAGACUGGGAUAACUCCGGGAAACCGGGGCUAAUACCGGAUAACAUUUUGAACUGCAUGGUUCGAAAUUGAAAGGCGGCUUCGGCUGUCACUUAUGGAUGGACCCGCGUCGCAUUAGCUAGUUGGUGAGGUAACGGCUCACCAAGGCAACGAUGCGUAGCCGACCUGAGAGGGUGAUCGGCCACACUGGGACUGAGACACGGCCCAGACUCCUACGGGAGGCAGCAGUAGGGAAUCUUCCGCAAUGGACGAAAGUCUGACGGAGCAACGCCGCGUGAGUGAUGAAGGCUUUCGGGUCGUAAAACUCUGUUGUUAGGGAAGAACAAGUGCUAGUUGAAUAAGCUGGCACCUUGACGGUACCUAACCAGAAAGCCACGGCUAACUACGUGCCAGCAGCCGCGGUAAUACGUAG